AAUGAACGCUGGCGGCAUGCCUUACACAUGCAAGUCGAACGGCAGCAUGACCUAGCUUGCUAUGUUGAUGGCGAGUGGCGAACGGGUGAGUAAUGCAUCGGAACUUGCCUUUUAGUGGGGGAUAACGUAGCGAAAGUUACGCUAAUACCGCAUAUUCUCUGAGGAGGAAAGCAGGGGACCUUCGGGCCUUGCGCUAGAAGAGCGGCCGAUGUCGGAUUAGCUAGUUGGUGAGGUAAAGGCUCACCAAGGCAACGAUCCGUAGCGGGUCUGAGAGGAUGAUCCGCCACACUGGGACUGAGACACGGCCCAGACUCCUACGGGAGGCAGCAGUGGGGAAUUUUGGACAAUGGGCGCAAGCCUGAUCCAGCCAUGCCGCGUGAGUGAAGAAGGCCUUCGGGUUGUAAAGCCCUUUCGGCUGGGAAGAAAUCGCACCCUCUAAUACAGGGUGUGGAUGACGGUACCAGCAUAAGAAGCACCGGCUAACUACGUG
rnacentral:rRNA from 1 species